rnacentral:tRNA from 1 species
GGGCCGGUGAACUCAGUUGGUUGAGCAUGGUGCUGAUAACACCAAGGACCGCGGGUUCAAUUCCCAUUCGAUCCC